GACGAAGGGAGCGAGCGUUGUUCGGAAUCACUGGGCUUAAAGGGCGCGUAGGCGGCCUUGUAUGUCGGUUGUGAAAUCCCUGAGCUCAACUCAGGAAUUGCUUCCGAAACUGCAAGGCUUGAGGCAUUCUGGGGGCGACUGGAACUCUUGGUGGAGCGGUAAAAUGCGUAGAUAUCAAGAGGAACGCCGGUGGUGAAGACGGGUCGCUGGGGAUGUCCUGACGCUGAGGCGCGAAAGCUAGGGGAGCAAACGGGAUUAGAUAC
rnacentral:rRNA from 1 species